UGGGGGAUAUUGCACAAUGGGCGAAAGCCUGAUGCAGCGACGCCGCGUGGGGGAUGAAGGCUUUCGGGUUGUAAACCUCUUUCGCUAUCGAACAAGGCCCGCUUAGGGUGGGUUGAGGGUAGGUGGAGAAGAAGCGCCGGCUAACUACGUGCCAGCAGCCGCGGUAAUACGUAGGGCGCGAGCGUUGUCCGGAAUUAUUGGGCGUAAAGGGCUUGUAGGCGGCUUGUUGCGCCUGCUGUGAAAACGCGGGGCUUAACUUCGCGCGUGCAGUGGGUACGGGCAGGCUUGAGUGUGGUAGGGGUGACUGGAAUUCCAGGUGUAGCGGUGGAAUGCGCAGAUAUCUGGAGGAACACCGAUGGCGAAGGCAGGUCACUGGGCCAUUACUGACGCUGAGGAGCGAAAGCAUGGGUAGCGAACUGG
rnacentral:rRNA from 1 species